AAAUGUUCAACUGCGUCGUGCGACGCCAACUUUGCGGAGGCGAUGCCGAAUCGUCGUUUCCGUCAGUGCCAUCGACAUUGCAAUAAGCGGACCGUCGAGCGUGCGUUGCAUUCGUCGGCUCCGGGCUGCAGGUACGUUAUUCGACGAUAUUAGGUCAAGGACCUCGGCGAAGUGUUACGAAACAUGUCAUAUUGACACUUGUAUUGCAGUAUGACGGGAUGCAACGCACCAAGUUGCACAAACCUCACGGAAGCUGGCAAAGCUUUUUACGCGGUGCCGCGCGAACGGGCAGACGUGCGCCGGCGACGAGUAUGGCUACUGCGCAUCAGCCGAGACUGGCCGGCUCCGAAAGGGACCAGAAUAUGCGAGAUGCGUUCUCCUUAUUUACAUUGUUGCUCUGAAUUCUGCCCCACAAGGCUCUAAGAAACAGCACUCUUGCCCUUCUGCCUGUAGCCAUUGGUCAUCCAUUCCCUUGUACGAAAUAAAUUUGAUCUUGACGCUCGUC